GAUUUGUGAACAGGGCCUGGGGGUGGAGGGGAGGUUGGGACCUGUCAGAGGCAGCAGGGCUGAAGAAGGUUUGUGAACAGGGCCCUGGGGUGGAGGGGAGCUGGGGAUCUGUCAGGAAGGAGGGCUCAUCCCUGCCUUCACCAAGCCCACCCACCAGCAGGCAGCCUUUCUAGGAGCUGGUUCUUUCUAAGGAUACCAGGCUCCUUCCUGGAAGUCUUUGAUUGUCCUGCAACAAGUGCAUUGAUGACAAAAUGGAAUGCAGUGCUCAGCCCUCCUGGCCUCCUGCCUGAUUCUCUUCGGAGUGCACCACAUGGGUGGAAGAGCUGCCCCCACCACAUACAGCCCUCACCCACAGUGUGAUGGGUAGAACCAGGACCAGAUCUACCGGGAGCCCUCCUCCCACACACCGUGGCUUCUAUGAAAGGACUAAAUUUAGGACCUGAAACCAGCUGAAAUGGGGACAGCAGAGCCUGCUGCGCCGCAGCUGCCCAUCCAGGUAAGGAAACCAUGGCACAGAGAGGUUAGCAACAUGUCCCAAAUCACAUAGAAAGGCCUCCCUCUCUGCACACCGAGAGACCAAAUAUACAAACGGACAAUGGCCAAACCGUAUAUGAUAAUAGAACUCUUUCCUACAACCUCCAUCAUGAUCAGCCCUGGAAACCAAACCACCACCUCUGCAGCAAUUGGCCCAGAAGGAUCAGGACUUGGUCAAUGAUUGCCAGUGACUGCCAGUUUCCUUGUGUCCCCCUGACACCCUCCCCACCAGUACAACCGCCACAUCCAACUCAGGACCAAUCAAUCACGUAGGAUGUCCAGCUUCUAGUUAGCUGCCUCCAGCACCCCCAUGCCAGCAGCCUCCGGUGAGGGCACACCUGAAGCCUUCCCUUUUUCUCACUGCAAAUCUUCCUCACUCUGCCUGACUUUGAGUCUUUGCCGAAUAUAUGUAGUGGUGGCCAACUCCCUUGCUAUGGCUCUGAAUAAAAAGCCUCUGUGUGGUCU
rnacentral:lncRNA from 1 species